rnacentral:rRNA from 1 species
AUACGGAGGAUCCAAGCGUUAUCCGGAUUUAUUGGGUUUAAAGGGUGCGUAGGCGGACUGGUAAGUCAGCUGUGAAAGUUUGCGGCUUAACCGUAAAAUUGCAGUUGAUACUGUCAGUCUUGAGUGUGCAUGAGGUGGGCGGAAUUUGUGGUGUAGCGGUGAAAUGCUUAGAUAUCACGAGGAACUCCAAUUGCGAAGGCAGCUCACUGGGGCAUAGCUGACGCUGAUGCGCGAAGGUGUGGGUAUCAAACAGGAUUAGAUACCCUGGUAGUCCACACAGUAAACUAUGAAUACUCGCUGUUUGCGAUAGACAGUAAGCGGCCAAGCGAAAGCAUUAAGUAUUCCACCUGGGGAGUACGCCGGCAACGGUGAAACUUAAAGGAAUUGACGGGG